GUAUAAAACAAAACGGCCUGAAUACAACCGAUCUGUCAGGUCUCCGAAGCUGAGCGAGGUUGGGCCUGGUUAUUGCUUGAAUGGGAGGCCGCUUAGGAUUAUCGGGUGUUGUAGGCU
rnacentral:rRNA from 1 species